rnacentral:rRNA from 1 species
GGGCCCGCACAAGCGGUGGAGUAUGUGGUUUAAUUCGAUGCAACGCGAAGAACCUUACCAGGGUUUGACAUCCUGCGAAUCUCUUGGAAACGAGAGAGUGCCUUCGGGAGCGCAGUGACAGGUGGUGCAUGGCUGUCGUCAGCUCGUGUCGUGAGAUGUUGGGUUAAGUCCCGCAACGAGCGCAACCCACGUCUUUAGUUGCCAGCAUUUAGUUGGGCACUCUAGAGAGACCGCCGGUGAUAAACCGGAGGAAGGUGUGGAUGACGUCAAGUCAUCAUGCCCCUUACAUCCUGGGCUACACACGUGCUACAAUGGCCAGUACAGAGGGCUGCAAACCCGUGAGGGGGAGCCAAUCUCACAAAGCUGGUCGUAGUCCGGAUCGCAGUCUGCAACUCGACUGCGUGAAGUUGGAAUCGCUAGUAAUCGUGAAUC